GACGAACGCUGGCGGCGUGCUUAACACAUGCAAGUCGAACGCAGUGGCGAACGGGUGAGUAAUACGUCGGUAACCUGCCCUCCUUUUUGGGAUAAGCCUUGGAAACGAGGUCUAAUACCGAAUAAAGGGGGUUGGGCUCGCGGCCAAUCAGCUUGUUGGUGGGGUGAUGGCCUACCAAGGCGGUGACGAGUAGCCGGCCUGACAGGGUGACCGGCGACAGAGGGACUGAGAAGCGUCCCAGGCGCGGCAGGGAGGCAGCAGUGGGGGAUAUGGCACAAUGGGCGAAAGACUGAUGCAGCGACGGAGAGUGGGGGAUGAAGGCUGUAGGGUUGUAAACCUAGUUAGCUAUAGAAAGGGUAGGUGGAGAGGAAGCGACGGCUAACUACGUGCCAGCAGCCGCGGUAAUAC
rnacentral:rRNA from 1 species